GGUCUUCCAGCCAUUCUCAAGACUAGAAGUGUACAGCUUUGCGCAAGGGCAACUUCUCUGCAUGGCAGAGGUGAGGGGAAAUGAAAAUGAUGCUGGGACUAAGUGUCGCCUCUCUGAGAAGUGUCGCAGUCGCAGUCAUGUGGCAUGUCUGUUACAUUUCCCAGAAUGGUUCCCAGCGCUGGAGCUAAUUCCUUUUCGGAGAACCUACAUUUCUCACCUGCUGAUUGCAAUUAGCCACUGCCAGCUGGGGCCUGGUAUGCAGCGGAAAAGCUAACAAGAAGUAGAGACCGCGCGGAACCCAGACAGGGCAGAGGAUGUGCAUAAGUUUUGUUGAAACUGUCAACAGGGCAAGAGGUGAAUGCAGCAAAUCGUAAGGAGAAGACCUGAAUGAGGCAACAACAGAUGCUCACAAUGAUGGCAACUGCUGAAGUUGAUGGGUAAUGAUUUUGCGGCAUCGUCUCCACUGACUCGGGCCCUCCUCCACCCUGGCUGCUGCCGAAGACCCCAGGAAGCAUGGCCCUGACCUCUGUUUAGUCUCCAUUCAGGAGCAGCCGGCCACCAUGUUGUAAGGCAACCCUGUGCCUGAGGCCAGCCAGCAGCCCUAAGAGUGGGCUUAGGAGCAGAUCCUGCCCCCACCGAGCCUGGAAAUGGGACUGCAACCCCAGUGAUACCUGGACUGAAGCCUCGUGAGGGACACCGAGCCAGAGAACCCAGCUAAGCCGCGUCCAAAUUCCUGACCUUCAGAGAUGGGUUUGGGCCUGAGGUGUGUGAUGAUCCCAUCUGCGCUCUUGUAUCUCACGAGGCCGAUGAAGCCGCACCUUCAGGACUGCUCACUUGCGUGGACCUCUUUUUUGUACAUUUGCGAAAGUACAAGUGCGGCGUGUGCUUGGACAACCCUCGGGCCCUCUACAUAUAAGCGAUUUAUAGCCGGGUCUGAAUGGAUUGGAAUCAGAUGGCAAAACCCAGAUUAACCCCCUGGAUCCUGGUGGCCAUUGGUCAGUCUUUGCUGUUAAUGAUACUUUCACCCGAGUGAAUGCAUUAAAGACGUUCCUUUUAAGAUAAAUAUGCAGCUCGGUCCCUGAUGUCUGCCUGUCGCAAAAACGUGUGAUGGGAGACCAAAUGUCAAUAAAAUCUCCCUGCCCGCCUCAACCCGGUACAUAAUCAGCUCGAAGGUAAAUAAAUGCAAAGGAAUGCAAAGCCAGAGACGUUAGCGUACUCGCCAGAGCCACACCAGUAAUAAGAGGCAGAGCCAGAGUUGCAACCCAGUCAGCUGCGGCGUCUACCUCUCCCCAGCCUCCCAGCCUGGGAAAUUCAAGAAAUCGAAUGCAUCAUCUCUGAGGGGAAAAGGAGAUAAAGGUCCAGAACCCAUCCAAACGCUUCGUUCGGACCAGAUCUUUUCCAAAGGGAACGCACCAGAUGAUGGGCAUGAAAGGCCCUUAGAAAUGAGAUCAAUCUCGGCCUCUCUCUGAGGACAGCACUCAGGACCAGAGACUGGAGCCGGCUUGUUCAAGGUCACUCGGCGAGCUAAUGGAAGACCCGGGGCCACAGGUCAGAGGUCAUGGUUCACUGCACUAUUUUAUUCUGCACAUACACACAAAAAUGAUUUGGGGAAAUUCUUUAGCAAAGGCAGAAGAGUGAAAGCUGGCAAAUUUUGGAUGGAAAUUUAAGACAGAGCAUGAGUCAGAUCUCUUUAAAGUAUCACUCAGUGUUUUUGCUGUGACAGUACAUAAAAAUAACACUAGCUAACUAGUUUAGUGAAGGCUUGCCACCAGCCAGACACUGCCUUAAACACUUGACACACUUUUUUGCAUUUAAAUCUCCAAACGAUGCUCUGAGAAAGGAAUCCAUUUCACAGAUGAGGAAACUGAGACUUAGGGAAAGGAACUUUCCCAAAGGUACCCGGAUAGGGCAAUUUUGACAGCGGCUGGAGCAUAACAACACUCUGAAAUUCACAGCCAUUCUCGUCAUAUGUCCCUUAGAUUUCUGAUGCUGAGAUUGAGCCUCGUAUUCAGUCUAUGCGGGCACCAUCUGCAGCUGUAGAGGCCUUGUUCUAAACAUCUCACGUCAGCCCUGCCAAAGUGCAGCUUUGCAAGUGAGCCCCCAGAAACCCAUUCAUUCAUUUAUCCAUUCAAUAAUUUUUUUUCUUUUUAGGGCUGCACCCGCUGCAUUCGACCCCUAGUUCCUGGGCUAGGGGUCGAAUUGGAGCUGGAGCUGCCGGCUUAUACCACAGCCACAGCAACAUGAGACCUGAGCUGGUGACCUACACCUCAGCUCACAGCAACACCAGAUCCUUAACCCACUGAGUGAGGCCACGGAUGGAACCAGCAUCCUCAGGGAUACUAGUCAGGUUCUUAACCCACUGAGCCACAAUGGGAACCCUAUUCAAUAAUUUUUAUUUAUGGCCAGAAGCAGUCCAGACACUGAGGGAAACAUGAAGAAAUGUAAAACACAACUCGUCUCUCAAGUAAUUCCCAGUCUAUCUAGGGAUCAAUGCCCCUAAGUCCAGCAUGAAGAUCUGGGAGAUAGGAGAGAUUUAAAACAUCCUGGCCCAACUUCCUACCCAAGGCAAGAAGCCCCCCUACCCUAUUCCCACCAGAUCCAGCUUCUGCUGAAAUAAGUCUGGAGACAGAGGAUUUAGGGCUCAACCAUGCAGGAAGCCAGAUCUUUCCAGUUCUAAUUGUGAGAAAGACAAAAACAACAACAACAACAAAACCUCUCUCUGAUUUUAAGCUGAAAUUCAGCUUCUGGUAACGUUUGCCCUCCUGGCACGUUCACAGGCCGCUGUCCCAUCUUCCCUGAGUCAUUUGUGUGCCCUAAAUGGUUCCUCAGGCAAGUCCUCACCAUCCAUCUCCAGGUGCCAAUUCCUUCCCACAAGGCUCCCUUCGUGGAAGGUGUAUAGGGGGCGUCACAAGACACGAUAUUGAUUAAUUUGCUAAAUCUGUGCUUUCUGGGGUGUUCCGUAGAACACUAGUUCCACAGAGCUUAAGUAAGUACGUGCUCCAGCAAAAUAAACGCCCAUCCAUUAUUCCAUCCGAGAAAUCUCGGCAAAGCCAACCAGGUUCCAUUACUGAAACUUACCACCUCCAAGGUUAUGAGAGACUCGUGUAAGCCUGCAAAAGCGGAUACGGAAUGCUGUGAUGUCCCCCAGUCUUUUCAUGCCAGACUGGACUCUGCUCACGGAGCAUUUCCCAGAGACACUGUUCCUCAGAGAACUUUUGGGAGAAACGUAAGUUAAAAACAAACAAACAAACAAAAGUAAUCCAGACAGUGAGCCCAUAAGCACUAAAGACCAUUCUGAAGCUGGAUGGCGGGGCGGAAGCCAUCUUUUCCUGCCGCCCCCACUUGGCACUCAACAGAUCUGUGCCCAUGGCCUUGACUUCCGAUGGCCAGCACUGCAUGUCUGCCUGAGAGCUUUGCAGCUACUGGAGACGGUACCCACGAUGGCAACGGGCUGGAAUUCCUAGAAAUCCAGCGGCCCUCCUCCCCCAGAGCAGCUGUCAACCCAGACGGACAGGCGGGCUCCUCCACCCUUGGUGGAGAUGACUCAAGGGCAUGGUUCCGCUGGAGGUUCCUUUCCAUCCCGCCUCAUUUCCUCGCGCCUCUGCUGCUUUUUCCUGCCAUCUCCUUCCACAGAAACGAUUGGCACUCCAGUCCCGUCCGGGCUCUGCUUUUGGUGGAAUGGGACUGGGCCAUCAUCUUCUUCUGCACCAGAUGCACGCGCCUCACAAAUCUCGCCCUGCCUCGGUCUCCCCACGUGUUUUUCUAGGGCUUGGGGACUCAGUCUGGCCAGGAUGGAAGAGGACUCCAGACAGGGAAACAUGGGAAAGGGGGGGCAGCUCUCGGGCACAUAAAUCACUGUGCAGCCGAGAGCUCUGCUGCUCCCAAGCCUGCAAGGUAAUUCCCAGGGCUGCGAAUAACUUGGCAAGCAACCCGCAAGUCAGGGCGGGACGCGGGGCCAAGCUUCUGGGUCGCUUGUCUCCAUUUUUUACUGUGGGUGUAACCUUGAUCCCUCUGCAGAGGUAAACAACGGGGUCUGAAUUAUUUGGUUUGGAAAAGGAAGAGGCCCCAGGGAGGUACGCGCCGCAGUAAUAAAUGCGGAGGAGAAACAGCUGUGCGCCGCUCGCCCGCCGCCCUCCCUCAGCGCCACCCCGGGCCGUCUCUGAAGGCGGAAAGGCAUCGCUCUCCCCGUCCCAAGUAUGGGCCGGCGUUGCCGAAGCCACAAAUCACCAAGAAAAGUGCAGAAGAAAGUUCGCCAUUUCUUGGAAUGGAGAUCAUAAUAAAUAAUAAUAAUCU
rnacentral:lncRNA from 1 species